rnacentral:tRNA from 1 species
GCCGCAGUAGCUCAGUAGGUAGAGCGCAUCCUUGGUAAGGAUGAGGUCAGCAGUUCGACUCUGCUCUGUGGCUCCA